GAAACAAUCUGCAAAGAAGUUUUGAGGUUCUGUCCAUCUGGUCCAGGAAAUGCUGACUCUGCUAGAUGUGCUGUUGGGUGGGCUCUCAUGGGAGAGGCUUGGGCAGGACUUCCCUUGGCAAUAAGCUGCCCCACCCAGGCCUUUCCAUGAUCCAGAAUCCUGGGACCAGAGUGCAAAUCCCCAGCUCCCCACUUGUCAACAAUGUGACAUGGGCAACUUUCUCAAACCCAAGCUUUGUCCACCCAAGGUCAUCAGAGAUGGGGGAUAACAGGAUGUCCUGCACAGAGUGUCUGUGCAGAUUAAGUGAGGUAGAACAGACAGAAGUGGUGGGGCCUGGCCCAUUGGUUGGCAGAAGGGAGCUCACCAUGUGCAGCAAUUUCCGCGGGUCACCCAGCAAUGUGCCCAGAGGCUUAGCCACUCCAUCACUAUCAUGUGUCUGAAGUCCACUUAACCACAUGGGAGAGAAACAAACACAUAUUCUGAGUGUAGCUGCCACAGGGAAAAUUGUAUCUGAGCGGGGAGUAAUACCAGAGGGUGAUCAGGAUGAUGGAAGAUGCCCCCUGGGGUUGAGCAGAGUGGAGCUGCCCUCUGGAGCCUGGGGUUAGUGAGGAUGGGCUUGUAGAAAUGCCCCUCUCCUUUACCCAUCAAUGCUAGGUCCUGCGGGUACUGAGUCCCACAAUCGGUGUGCUGCUAGUGCCCUCAGCACAGAGAAAAACCCAGGGGUUCCCACAAGGCUUCGGCCACGACCUCUGCUUCCUGAACUCCCAUUCUGGUGACCCCACCUGGGAUGCAGAGAUGAGGUGAGGCAGGGGCUUGUGCUGUCAACACCACUGCUCUAUCCUGGGAAUCUGACACACAGUAGGUGCUCGGUAAGUCAUUGUUGAAUGAACAGCAAUACUGGGCCAAGUUUCUGUGGGUGUCUGUGCCCCCAGAUCAGGGACCCCUCAGGGCCCACCUCACAAGUGACAUGAAAAUAAUAAUGCCACCAGGAGCAAUAACAGUUCCUCAGAAUAAGUGGGCUUUUCCAAGCACUCUCCACCUGUUGCAAAGGCCUCCCAGCAGGGAAGUGGGCUGUCAGGGGCAACACUGCACUCUCCACUGUAACAAGGAGAAAGCCAAGGGCCACAGAGAGGAGUGCCUUUCCAGUGUCACUGCUCACUUUCCCACCUUUUGGGAGACUGGGAGGCUUUUCUACUACAUUCUGGCUCUGAAGCCCCAAUACUGUUUGGACAUGCCUCCCUCCCUGGAGCAGGGAACCACUAAGUGACCUGUCACUUGUCACCAAGCAGACAGGCUCAUUUCAGCUCAUUGUGCCACCUGCAGGUUGUACUAGUAGCAGGAUCCUCUGGGAGACAUCACACUCUCCCAACCUGAAAACAGGUGAACAGCUCACAGGUUUCCUGGAGAGGAUGGUCACAUGGCCUUGAUCUGGCCAAUCAGCAUUUUCCAUCCUCCCUGGCCACUGUGAUUGGCUCAGGGCUGGGCACCAGCCCAAUCAGGCUCCACGGAGGUCAGGCCUAGUUACUGGAAUCCUGGGAGCAGAGAAGUUCUAUUUCAGUUGGGAGUUGAGGGGUGAUGAUGUCAGCCUGUGGCAGUUGGUGACUAUCUUGCUCUCAUAAAGGCAGAGCCAUGUGAAGAUGACACCAGUGGCAGAGCCCAGAGGUGGGGAAGGAUGACUUCUGCUGAUGUCACUGAGCACCAGGUACAGCCCUGCCUGAAGCUAUCUCCCUUUGGAUGUCUCAGUUAGGCUGUCUGCUGCAUGAGAAUGGAGACCUGCCUGCUUCACUACCUGCUGUGCCCGGUAUCUGGAACCCGCCCAACACACAGUAGGACGUCAGCGAAUGUGUGACGGGUGUGUGAUCACUGUAGGCCACAGACAAAAGUCUUCCCAGCAGUGAAGAAACCCUGUGACAGAUCCUGUCCACAGCACCCUGCUCCUCCGAUCCUGACCCCAGGCUUUCCCAUGGGGUGUGACCCCGCAUGGGGUGCAGUCCCCUCCUCCAGUCUGGUUAUGUUUUGCCACAGGAAGAGAUGUCAGGAAUCUUGGACCAGUUCUUGGAGCAGAGAAUUGAGUGACUUUCUCAAGUUCACGUUGACACUCCAUAUGUUUCUGCCAGUAUCAGCGAGGUUCAAUUUGUCUCUCAUGAAUGUCUUUCGAGCCUGGUAUUCUCAACAGAAGUCUCCAUGCCAGUAUUCUCCAUUGUAGCAGAACAACUCUCAUCAAUGUGUUUGCAUCUCACCUCAAUUCGUGCAGCCACCUUUUCUGCCAGCUUCCUUCAUGUCUCCUAUAAAGUCAAAUUCUAAAGGACAGGGCAAGUCUGAAAGUACCUCAGAGCCUCACCUGUAAGCUGAUGACAGGCAGAUCUUCCACUGUAUGCCCUUUCAGGUUCUGGAAACUGACCCGUGAACUCAGGCAAUUGCGCAGCACGAGUAUCUCGAACUUACACAGAUUCCCGAAAAAGAGACUUAAGCCAAGCUCCAUAGAGGGUGGUACCACCUCCAUGACACUGAUCCACCCACAGAAUUCUACCCAGUUACCUUGGAUCCACCAACCACAACAAUCCUGGUGGAACACACCAAGAUACCACCUGGAAUCCAACCGGUUUUCUGAGGCCUCAGCCUGUCUUUGGAAGUAACAGACCACUCUUCGGAAAGUGUCCUGUGCCGAGGGCUGGAUGUCAGGAAUCGUGGAGCCGUUCUUGGAGCAGAGAAUUGAGUGACUAUCUCAAGUGCACUUUGACACUCCGAAUGUUUCUGCCAGUAUCUCAGAGGUUCUGUAGGACUCAUGAAUGUCUUUCGAGCCUUGUAUUCUCUAGAGAGGUCUCCAUGCCGGUAUUCUCCAUUGUAGCGGAGCAACUCUCAUCAAUAUGUUCGCAUCUCUCUUCAAUCCGUGCAGCCAACUUUUCUGCCAGCUUCUCUUCGUGUCUCCAAUAUAUUGUCGACUUCAACAGGACUGGGCAAUUCUGAAAGUACCUCGGAGCCUCACCAGUAAGCUGAUGACAGGCAGAUCUUCCACUGUCUGCCCUGUCAGGUUCUGGAAACUUACCCGUGAACUUAGGUCUUUGGGCAGCAGCAUUAUCUCGAACUUACACAGCGUCCCGAACAAAAUACCUAAGCCAAACUCCACAAAGGGUGGCAGCCCCUCCAUCACACUGAUCCACCCACAGAAUUCUGCCCAGUUAAAUUGGAUCCACCAGCCACAACAAGCCUCGCGGUACACAUCAAGAUUCCACCUAGAAUCCAACCGGUAACUGCCAUCCCCAAAGGUUGCUGAAUAUUUUCAGUGUUGGGGGAGGGGCUGCAUCAAACGAGAGGUUCCUAAGUUAAAUGUGAUUCUAUCAAUUA